rnacentral:tRNA from 1 species
AGGCAUGUGGCUUAGAGGUAGAGCAUUUGCCUAGCAUGUAGAAGGCCCUGGGUUCAAGUCAUAGCAUCACUA